UGACAGCCUACCAGCCUCCCCCGGGUGUGUCGACAGAUGGCCACCCCAAGUGUGCUGCCUUGAGGGACAACCUCAAGGGCCUGCCUUGGCAUGUCAAAGGAAUGCGCAAGGUACUCAUAGGGCUCGGGAACCCUAUGGGCAACGCAAGGUCGGGUGGACUAGCGUUGGGCGUCGGAAAAGGCUAGAGGUUGGCUAUAUGAACCGACAAGCCCCGUGGGCUGUCUAAAUGAUGGAAGGAUGCCUCCAAGCCGAUAGAGCAAUCGAGAUACUCUCCCCAAGAGACUCGUGAGCUAACUUGUGAGCUUGGUCAAGGUUCAGCCAAGCGAGCAAGGGUCCGUUGGCCUAGACGCGCAGUUGUGGGGCGACACUGUGCUACGGAAGCUGGAUACAAGUUGCGUGGGCUAUGCUUGGCUAUGCCAUAAGACAUGAGAGGGCAUAUCUAAGAAAGACGCUUGAGACAAAGGCCAAGGAUUGAGGGUUGCCCUACUCGGGUGAAGCAAAGGCCAAGUGCACAUGCAUGAGGCGAUGUCAAGCUUGAGGAUAGGACUGUGCAUGCGAUGGCAAUGCUCAGGCCAAGGCAAGGGACGAGUAUGUCCAUAGCCAUACCCAGGAGCGCAUAUGGAUGAGAUCCACGGAUUAAAGGUGCGCCAGAAGAGUUGCUUAUACGUUGGCCAUGUCAGCCGACAUGUCGAAGGAGCGGCACCAAAGGGGGCAAGCCUCUGAGGAGAGCUUCCCACAAGCACAGGAUCGUGCUAAAGACCUGGGAAAUGAGGAAGGCUGGCCCAUAGUUGGGGGAACCAUGGGCGCCGCACGGGCAAAAUUGUGUGCCGCUGACACGAAGAAAAAUGAGCCCGUGACA
rnacentral:lncRNA from 1 species